rnacentral:rRNA from 1 species
UCCUGGCGUCAGGACGAACGGCUGGCGGCGUGCUUAACACGAUGGCAAGGUCGAACGGGGAUAUUUCUGGAAGGGCUCGGUUUGGAAGGAGAUAUUCGAGUGGCGGACGGGUGAGUAACGCGGUGAGCAAUCUGUCCCGUAGAGGGGGAUAACACUUGGAAACAGGUGCUAAGUACCGCAUAGGACCACGGCAUCGCAUGGUGCUGAGGUGAAAGGAGCAAUCCGGUACGGGGUGAGCUCGCGUCCGAUUAGCCAGUUGGCGGGUAACGGCCCACCAAAGCGACGAUCGGUAGCCGGACUGAGAGGUUGAACGGCCACAUUGGAACUGAGAGACGGUCCAAACUCCUACGGGAGGCAGCAGUGGGGAAUAUUGGGCAAUGGGCGAAAGCCUGACCCAGCAACGCCGCGUGAGUGAAGAAGGCCUUCGGGUUGUAAAGCUCUGUUAUGAGGGACGAAGGAAGUGACGGUACCUCAUAAGGAAGCCCCGGCUAACUACGUGCCAGCCGCUGC